GCCCAAUGCGGCAGUGUAAACACACAAUGUAAUAUUCAUGACGAGUGAAAGUUCCUGUGGCCCACAGUGCAGCCUGUCAGUUUGAGGGAUCCUGGGCUAACGCUCGGUGGACGAACACGUGGGCUGUUUUGUCAGAUAAGCAGCCGGGUAAAUGUUUUACAAAGUAGCUUAGGGAGAAGUAGCAAUGUCAAGUCUCCGGUCUGCCGAUGUCUUCUACUUCGGUCAGGCUCCUCACUGGUGGGACCCCCUUACGGAUCCGAGGAGUGCAGAUACAAGCUGAUACAAGAUUUAGGAACAUGAUGAGCAAGCAGAUGUCCCGGGCCAGCAGAUGAUCACGCCCCCCAGAAGCCUCCACAUCCACUGCAGAUACAUUUCAAAUGCAACAUUACAUUUUAAUCACUACAUAAAAUAGUUUCCAUGUAUGUUUUUUAUUAUCUAUCAAUAUCAUCAAGUUUGUUCACAUUAUCUCUAUCCAUCUUGUCAGAUCAUCCAUAAAUUGGCAUGAAAAGUACAUGUUUAAAACUAAUCUUUUGUUAUAAUGUGUUGAAUUACUGAAUCACAUAUAUAGAGGGGAGAAAAAAAUGUCCUGGUGCGAGUGAAGAUAUUAUCAUUCAGCCCCCAGGCUCACUUUCAGGAUCCCUUUUGAUCUUCAAAAAAGUCUAGGCUCUUGUCAGCCGAGGAUCUAUCCAGACUGCUACCGCUUGACUUUGCCAAUUGACUCAUCAACUUAUUUUCUGAUUGGUUUCCUGACAGCUCCCCAGAUUCCUCUGAGUGAUAGCUCUACUUCCUGCCCUGAGGUCAAACUGUGUGGCGUGUUGGCUCACACAGGAAGGCUGGUUUUAUUGGACGUGUUUUGUGUGCUUUGGUCAACCCUUGCACACACACACACACAUACACACACACACACUCUUCUGCUCAGUCAAUAUUUCAGCACGCUGCAACGUAGAUGCUAUGAAAUAUUGAUUAUGGUGCAGCGCUGGGGAAACAAAAUUGAAAGCAGACUUUGUGAUUUAUACGUGGAAUCAUUUUCACGAUUCAUUAUCUUUUGCACAUUCCUGCUGCCAUUGUGAGAGUCUGUCGUUCUGCAAGCUGGAGCUCCAAAGGAGGAGGGUGCUAUCUGCUGGAGGAGGGCUGAACGACAGGGCAGCGCUGAACAGAAAAUGUCUGUGCUGAAUAACAAAAAAUCCAAAGAAUGUAGUGAUAUCUAAUAUGAAUGGCACGCUUGCAUAAUUUUAAGAAUCAAUCUUCCUCUGAUAAAACAGCAGAAAACCAAUCUAUCUUGUUGACAUCUUCCUGCACAGUGUGUUUGUGCUGCUGAAUCUUUCCCCCAAUGACACCACAAGUUCUGACUAUUCUCAUUAAUAUGUAUAUGCACUAGUUAGAUGACACAGUUCAUGGUAACGAAGGAUGCUUUCUGACUCAGUUAUGACUUUAACAAACAAUGCAAACCCUAGACCUCUAAAGGAUGACCCAGUUUGGUACGAGAGGAUUGUUCUCUUCCAUCUCGCUCUGAAUUCAUCAAAGCUGACACAUUUUAAGGCCUCGUGUGAGAACGUAGGUGUUAUUCUAUCUGAUCUCAAUAGUUAGUGAAAAUCUGACAAUUUAGUUCCUUUCUUUCACGCACAAGUGGGCAACAAUUUGGUGACAUAAGGACUAAAAAAUGUUAAAAAUUAGUUUUGCUUUUAUGCACAGUUUAAGGAAUGCGUUUAGCUCCCAAUAUUCCCAUCGCAGUACAUUAUAAUAGUAUUUAUAAUGUGGUUUACAAUCAAGUCCUGAUUGGAUAGCGGCCGGAAAGUGACAUGAACUAAAUUUCCAGUUGAUAAUGUGGAAAUAAAGAUAGAAUUGAAAUGGCUAGAUCAGCCACAUAGUCACCAACAUCUACCAAUUUCACCCGGCCUCCUUAUUUAUAAGUUCGACUGUAAAUCUACAGUGCUAGAAACAGAAUUUUAAACUCAUAUAAGUGUUGAUAUAUUGCAUUAUCGUUAUGUGUCAUAUGUGGCAACCAACGGGUGGGGGUAAAAUCACCGGACUCGGAUACACGUCUAGCUGCACAAAAAAGGGUACGAUUUAUUGUAACAUACAAAGUAAGAAAAAGGGAAAAUUAGGUUCUUCCUCUUUUGAGGGUGCGGUUCAACGGGUUCAUCCAACCUUCGUCUCCUUCCUGCAGGAAGUACAAAAAACGGGAUUUAACACGCAUGCAAACAACCCCCGGCGUGAAGCCAGCUUCUACUCACGUCUUGUCUCCCGGGCUGUUGGGCUGGUUGGUCUUUUAUAGUGUGGCCAACCUUCAUCAGCCUUGUGAGCUGCAGCUGGGCCGCUGGUUGUCUCCUGAGGGGGCGGGGUGUUUCCCCUUUUGGUCACCUGACCUCGAGCUCGUGGGAGCCCUUUGUGCUGCUCUCUUGAUGCACUUUCCAGAGUGCUGCGCCCGUGGGUUGCCACACAUAGAAACUUGUUAGUUAGUUAUCAUUACAAUGCCAGCA
ensembl:lncRNA